rnacentral:misc_RNA from 1 species
AAAAAACUAACAGAACUUGCAGCAAAGGAACUUUAAAUAGAAAUGUCAUAUCCCACACUAAAAAAGGGCACGAAGCACGCCAGAAUCUCACUCAAUGCUAGCUGUCACUUCAGGCAGGUAGGUAGUGUAAGUCCAUGGCACACAAAAGCCAGUACAACAUAGACAAUCACUAGGAGGAGGACAAUCAAAGCAAUCGUAAGCUUGACGUUUCUCCACCAUACUGUGUUUCUGAAACGACGAGCUUGCUUUCUGAAACGGAAGGUGUUCCCUUGCAUAUUAGCAGUUUUAUCAACCAGCAAUUCCAAACGAUCUCCUCUCUCUAAAACUUUGUCAAUAUUCUCAAUCAUGACAUUUCGCACCUGACUCAUUUCACCUUUUAGUCUAUUUAUCCUGUCAGCAUUUGGAUCAUUUGAGUAAUACUCCAUUUGCUGGCUCAAAACCCUUGAAAAUUCAUCAUUCAUGGCAUAAGCCUGGGCUGAAUGAACAGCCCGGCCAUAAGUCCUCACAAAUCUUUGAUGAAUGUCUUCAAGAAACGCAAAAGGAAUUCUUCUUCCAGCGGUAUCAUCGGCCAUACAGAGAACAGUGAGGCCAUCGGUGCGUUUGACAUGAAAUAUAUAACGAUCUUGAGAAUAAGAGACGUGGCUGUCAUUAUUGCCUGGUAUCUUCUCCAAUAUCUGCCUUGCAAUGGCGCUAGCGUUGGUCGCCGUCGCAGUAAACUCCGCCAGAACCACCGAUCCCCUCGCUACCAGCGCGUAAAGGAUCGCCAUAUCCUCUUUCUCGCUCUCAAAAUUAGGGAUCGAUCAAUCAGUUGAACGGUGCUUUGAUCGAUCAACUUCAAUUAUAAAAGGCUCUCUCUUCUUGAUAAAACCUAAUUAAAAGGUAAACAAAAUGUAAAAACUCUCUCUCUCUCUCUCUCUCUC